UACAGAGACUGCAAGCGUUAUUCGGAUUCACUGGGCGUAAGCGUGCGCAGGCGGCUAUGCAAGACAGAUGUGAAAUCCCCGGGCUCAACCUGGGAACUGCAUUUGUGACUGCAUAGCUAGAGUACGGUAGAGGGGGAUGGAAUUCCGCGUGUAGCAGUGAAAUGCGUAGAUAUGCGGAGGAACACCCGAUGGCGAAGGCAGCCCCCUGGGUUAACAACUGACGCCUCGAGGCACGAAAGCGUGGGAGCAAACAGG
rnacentral:rRNA from 1 species